AAUCAACGCUGGCGGCGUGCCUAACACAUGCAAGUCGAACGGGAAAGUGGAGCAAUCCAUGAGUAUAGUGGCGACCGGGUGAGUAACACGUGACUAACCUACCUUCAAGUGGGGGAUAACCUCGGGAAACCGGGGCUAAUACCGCAUAAAAUCUCUGUUAUGAGAAAGCAGGGAUCAAAGGAGCAAUUCGCUGGAAGAGGGGGUCGCGGCUGAUUAGCUAGUUGGUGGGGUAAUGGCCCACCAAGGCUUUGAUCGGUAGCCGGCCUGAGAGGGCGCACGGCCACACUGGAACUGAAACACGGUCCAGACUCCUACGGGAGGCAGCAGUGGGGAAUUUUGCGCAAUGGGGGAAACCCUGACGCAGCAACGCCGCGUGGAGGAUGAAGUCCCUUGGGACGUAAACUCCUUUCGACCGGGAAGAUUAUGACGGUACCGGUGGAAGAAGCCCCGGCUAACUUCGUGCC
rnacentral:rRNA from 1 species